AGUUGGUCUGAAGGUUGUGGGUCACUGUUAAGUUCAUUAACAUUGUCUCGACCAUGACUGACUAGCUUAAA
ensembl:misc_RNA Y_RNA Y RNA